rnacentral:snRNA from 1 species
GUGCUUGCUUUGGCAGCACAUAUGCUAGAAUUAGAACGAUAGAGAAGAUUAGCAUGGACCAUGUGCAAGGAUGAAACACAAGUUUGUGAAGUGUUCCAUAUUAAG